rnacentral:rRNA from 1 species
AGCGAACGUUUGCGGCGGGCCUAACACAUGCAAGUCGAACGCACUAGCAAUAGUGAGUGGCGCACGGGUGUGUAACACGUGGGUAAUCAACCCUUCAGCCUAGGAUAACGACUCGAAAGGGUCGCUAAUACCGGAUACGGCGCGAGAGGCUUCGGCUUCUCACGAGAAAGCCACGCAAGGGGCACUGAAGGACGAGCCUGCGGCCCAUCAGCUAGUUGGUGAGGUAAGAGCUCACCAAGGCUAAGACGGGUAGCUGGUCUGAGAGGAUGAUCAGCCACACUGGAACUGAGACACGGUCCAGACUCCUACGGGAGGCAGCAGUGGGGAAUAUUGCGCAAUGGGCGAAAGCCUGACGCAGCCACGCCGCGUGAGCGAUGAAGGCCUCGGUCGUAAGACUCUGUGGGAGGAGAAGGAAUAAAGACCUCGUGAAGAAUAGGGCC